GAUGAACGCUGGCGGCGUGCCUAAUACAUGCAAGUCGAGCGCACAGACGAGGAGCUUGCUCCUCUUACGUUAGCGGCGGACGGGUGAGUAACACGUGGAUAACCUACCUAUAAGACUGGGAUAACUUCGGGAAACCGGAGCUAAUACCGCAUAAUAUCUUGAACCGCAUGGUUCAAUAGUGAAAGACGGUUUUGCUGUCACUUAUAGAUGUAUCCGGGCCGCAUUAGCUAGUUGGUAAGGUAACGGCUUACCAAGGCGACGAUGCGUAGCCGACCUGGGAGGGUGAUCGGCCACACUGGAACUGAAACAGGGCCCAGACUCCUACGGGAGGCAGCAGUAGGGAAUCUUCCGCAAUGGGCGAAAGCCUGACGGAGCAACGCCGCGUGAGUGAUGAAGGUCUUCGGAUCGUAAAACUUGGUUAUUAGGGAAGAACAAAUGUGUAAGUGAAUAUGCACGUCUUGACGGUACCUAAUCAGAAAGCCACGGCUAACUACGUG
rnacentral:rRNA from 1 species